rnacentral:rRNA from 1 species
GACGAGCGCUGGCGGCGUGCUUAACACAUGCAAGUCGAGCGGUAAGGCCCCUUCGGGGGUACACGAGCGGCGAACGGGUGAGUAACACGUGAGCAAUCUGCCCAUCGCAUCGGGAUAACUCCGGGAAACCGAAGCUAAUACCGAAUACGACCACCUCCGGCAUCGGAUGGUGGUGGAAAGUUCCGGCGGUGAUGGAUGAGCUCGCGGCCUAUCAGCUUGUUGGUGGGGUAACGGCCCACCAAGGCUUCGACGGGUAGCCGGCCUGAGAGGGUGACCGGCCACACUGGGACUGAGACACGGCCCAGACUCCUACGGGAGGCAGCAGUGGGGAAUAUUGGACAAUGGGCGAAAGCCUGAUCCAGCAACGCCGCGUGAGGGAUGACGGCCUUCGGGUUGUAAACCUCUUUCAGCAGGGACGAAGCGCAAGUGACGGUACCUGCAGAAGAAGCACCGGCCAACUACGUG